GAUGAAGAACGUAGCGAAAUGCGAUACUUGGUGUGAAUUGCAGAAUCCCGUGAACCAUCGAGUCUUUGAACGCAAGUUGCGCCUCAAGCCAUUAGGUUGAGGGCACGUCUGCCUGGGCGUCACAUAUCGUUGCCUGAUGCCAGUUUCCUCGUGAUGGGUGACUGUGCAGGGCGAAUGAUGGCUUCCCGUGAGCAUUGUUGCCUCAUGGUUGGUUGAAAAUUGAGUCCUUGGUAGGGAGCGCCGUGAUAGAUGGUGGUUGAGUGACGAACGAGACCCAAUCAUGUGAGACCCCUACCGAAUUUGGCCUUCAUGACCCACAUGCGUCUUUGGAACGCUCAUGACGAGACCUCAGGUCAGGCGGGGCUACCCGCUGAGUUUAAGCAUAUCAAUACGGAGGA
rnacentral:misc_RNA from 1 species